AACUUAAAUAGCUCAGUAGAGCGGUACAUUGAAGAUGUACAGGCGGGCUUCCUUUAAGUA
rnacentral:tRNA from 1 species